AGUCAGUCACAAAUGUUCGUGGUAAGAUGAGGUUUGAUUUUGUGUAGGAUGUAUGCGGAUAGGCUGACUGUGGGUUAUGCCAAUGAGCUCGAAACAAUAUUCAGGUGCAGAAAUAUUAAAGGUUAAAGAUUCAAAGACACAAAGUAACGAACGGGGAAUAUUACGACGUUUUAAAACAGAACAAUUUAUCAUUGCACCAAAAGAAAUUCGUCAAGUGCCAGGUUUUUAUCACUGAGGGAGAUGGAGGCCUAUCAAGUCUAGAGUAG